AUGAAUCACACACUGAAACCGGUAUCGCGUAUCUGCGUUCUGGUGUUUUUCGACGACAUUCUCGUCUUCUCCAAGACCUUUACUGACCAUGUCAAGCAUCUUCGAGAAGUCUUACAACUCUUGCGCAAUGACCAAUGGCAGAUCAAAGCUUCCAAAUGCUUUUUCGCUCAAAGAGAACUCUCCUAUCUGGGAUUUGUCAUCAGUGAACAAGGGGUUUCCACAGAACCUGAUAAAAUCAAGCAAGUGCAACAGUGGCCUCUUCCCAUCAAUGUCAAACAGCUAAGGCAAUUCUUGGGCCUUUCCGGUUACUACCGCAAAUUUGUUCGCCAUUAUGGUAUUAUAGCAAAGCCGUUGACACAUCUUUUGAAGAAAAACAUCCCUUUUGUGUGGACGAGUGAGUGCACAACAUCGUUUGAGACCUUGAAAACUCCAUUGGUGACAGCUCCUGUCCUUGCCCUGCCAGACUUCUCGAAGCAGUUUGUCCUUGAGACCGAUGCUAGUGAUCUUGGCGUUGGAGCUGUUUUGCAACAAGACGGUCAUCCCUUGGCAUUUCUGAGUAAGCCUCUCGGUCCUCGCAAUAAGGGGCUUUCUACAUAUGAGAAAGAAUUGUUGGCUAUUUUAUUAGCAGUUGAACAUUGGCGGCAGUACCUCCAGACAGCAGAGUUCAUCAAAACUGACCAACGCAGCUUAGUUCAUUUGGAAGAUCAACGCUUGCACACCCCUUGGCAGCAGAAAGCUUUCACCAAGCUAUUGGGUCUUCGCUACAGAUUGUGCUACCAAAAAGGAGUCGACAAUGGGGCUGCUGAUGCUCUUUCUCGUCGGCCAAUCUCAGAAACUGAUGAGCUUUAUGCUAUCUCCCUCUGCCAACCCGAGUGGCUCGAGGAGGUGAAAGCUGGAUAUGCCCAGGAUGCACCUACCCUCGAAAUCAUUAAGGAGAUACAGGCUAACCCCCAAUCACACCGGCAAUUUUCUUUGGAAGAUGGCCUCUUGCGUUACCAAGGGCGAAUUUGGAUUGGGCGCAAUAGCCAAAUGCAGCAGCGCAUGAUGAUCGCGGGGCAUCAGUCGGCUAUUGGUGGCCACUCCGAGGCCCCUGCAACAUAUCAGCGCUUGAAAACAGUUUGUGCAUGGCCACGUAUGAAGCGGCUUGUCACUGAAUUUGUACAGGCCUGUGAGGUAUGCCAACAAGCCAAGCCAGAGCGCUGCAAGUACCCCGGACUGUUGGAACCCUUGCCAGUCCCUGCACGUGCCUGGCAAAUGGUGUCCAUGGACUUCAUCGAGGGAUUGCCUCAAUCUGGGCGAGCCAAUUGUAUUUUGGUGGUCGUCGACAAAUUCUCCAAGUACAGUCAUUUUCUGGCCUUGACACACCCAUUCUCUGCAUCUCAAGUGGCUACUGCUUAUGUUGAUCAAGUUUACAGAUUGCACGGCUUGCCUGACUCGAUUUUGUCGGACCGUGACCCCAUCUUCACUAGCAGAUUUUGGAAGGAGCUCUUUCGUCUGACCAACACAACACUGAGAAUGAGUACUCCUUACCAUCCUGCAACUGAUGGGCAAACCGAGCGUACCAAUCAGUGCCUGGAGACUUUCCUCCGGUGUUUUGUCCAUGCCUGCCCAAAGAAAUGGAGUUCUUGGCUGCCCCUCGCUGAAUAUUGGUUUAACACGAGUUAUCACAGCGCUCAUGGAAAAAACCCCUUCUUUGUUCUCUAUGGUCACGAACCACGACACUGGGGGAUUGAGGCAGCUUCGGCUACUCCUGUCACCGAUCUGGAUGCCUGGCUCUCCGAGAGGGUGGAAAUGCAAGCUUUAAUUCGUCAGCACUUACUGCGGGCUCAAACAAGAAUGAAACAUCAAGCUGAUAAGAACCGAUCUGAACGCAGCUUUGACAUUGGUGACUCGGUUUAUAUCAAGCUUCAGCCGUAUGUUCAGAGUUCAGUAGCUCGUCGCGCCUGUCACAAACUGUCUUUCCGCUACUUCGGGCCCUUCUUGGUGCAAGACCGGAUUGGGCAGGUAGCAUACAGAGUGGGAUUGCCUGAACAUUCAAAGAUCCACCCCGUGUUCCACGUUUCGCAACUUCGCAAAGCCAUCAAGCCAGAAAAGUCCCUCCGUUUCUGA
rnacentral:rRNA from 1 species